CCUACGGGCUGCAGCAGUGGGGAAUAUUGCACAAUGGGCGCAAGCCUGAUGCAGCCAUGCUGCGUGUAUGAAGAAGGCCUUCGGGUUGUAAAGUACUUUCAGCGGGGAGAAAGGCGAUAAGGUUAAUAACCUUGUCGAUUGACGUUACCCGCAGAAGAAGCACCGGCUAACUCCGUGCCAGCAGCCGCGGUAAUACGGAGGGUGCAAGCGUUAAUCGGAAUUACUGGGCGUAAAGCGCACGCAGGCGGUCUGUCAAGUCGGAUCUGAAAUCCCCGGGCUCAACCUGGGAACAGCAUUCGAAACUGGCAGGCUAGAGUCUUGUAGAGGGGGGUAGAAUUCCAGGUGUAGCGGUGAAAUGCGUAGAGAUCUGGAGGAAUACCGGUGGCGAAGGCGGCCCCCUGGACAAAGACUGACGCUCAGGUGCGAUAGCGUGGGGAGCAAACAGGAUUAGAUACCCCAGUAG
rnacentral:rRNA from 1 species